AGCAGAAGUGGUUUUGUUGUUUUCAAAUGCUGUCAGAUGUGAUGUGCUGUCUGAUGUGAUGUGAAAAGGAAGUAUCCCAGUAAAAAUGGGUAAUAUUACGGAGGUUAUUUCAUGGCUUGGAAACAAGAAACUUUGAAUUGCUUCACUCCAUGUGAAACUAUCUUUCCAUGGACUAUGGAAGUUGGUUCUCGAGAGCUCAUGGGCUUACAAAUGCAAUACAGUGAAGAAAUUUAAAUCGAAUAGUAAUCCUCUGCUGUGAAGUGUUCAUCCCAAUGAAGCUUUCAUUGAAACCUGAUCCAUGGGCAAUGGAAAGAUUGUUGUUGAAAGCUAUUUGGCUUAUUUGAUGGUUAAAUAUCCAGGGAACUGCAAAAAUUAGUGCAUCAAAGGGUAAUCCUCUGUGAAGUAGCCAUCAUAGAAAAAUAAUUUCUUUGUCUAACAGUAACCAGACAUUUCUUGACAAUUACAGAAGUGAUGAGUGAGGAUUGCCUUCGCAAACGUAAUUGACAGAUCAAGCACCGAACAAAUGCAAUGCAGAUUGCAAACACGACUUCUCGUCAGUGAUUUUACAUCAAGCCGAUUUCCCCAGAAAAAAUAAUUUGCUCGACGUCAUCACCAAUUUAAAGCCAAAAUUACCAUACUUUAUGUCAACAGUCAACCAAACUUCCGCCAGCCCUCAUACAUACUGAGAGUGGUCAAUGCUUUUGUAUUUUAUUUAGGCCACUGAGAUUAAAUAAAAUAACUAAAAAAAGAUA